GAUGAACGCUGGCGGCGUGCUUAACACAUGCAAGUCGAACGGUGAAGCAGAGCUUGCUCUGUGGAUCAGUGGCGAACGGGUGAGUAACACGUGAGCAACCUGCCCCUGACUCUGGGAUAAGCGCUGGAAACGGCGUCUAAUACUGGAUAUGAGCUGCGACCGCAUGGUCAGCAGUUGGAAAGAUUUUUCGGUCUGGGAUAGGCUCACGGCCUAUCAGCUUGUCGGUGAGGUAAUGGCUCACCAAGGCGUCGACGGGUAGCCGGCCUGAGAGGGUGACCGGCCACACUGGGACUGAGACACGGCCCAGACUCCUACGGGAGGCAGCAGUGGGGAAUAUUGCACAAUGGGCGAAAGCCUGAUGCAGCAACGCCGCGUGAGGGAUGACGGCCUUCGGGUUGUAAACCUCUUUUAGCAGGGAAGAAGCGAAAGUGACGGUACCUGCAGAAAAAGCGCCGGCUAACUACGUG
rnacentral:rRNA from 1 species